rnacentral:misc_RNA from 1 species
GUAAGAAUGCUGACUCAUGAAAUUAGAAGUACACUCGACAGACAUACUAUAUUGAAAACCACCCUUGUUGAGUUGGGUAGGACCUUGGGUCUGGAGGAAUGUGCAUUGUGGAUGCCAUCUCGAUCUGAUAUGACUCUGCAACUUUCUCAUACCCUACAUUACCAAAUACAACUUGGAACUAGUGUGCCGAUAAACCUUCCUAUAGUCAAUGAAGUCUUCAACAGUGCUCG